UACGUAGGGGGCAAGCGUUGUCCGGAAUCAUUGGGCGUAAAGAGCGUGUAGGCGGCCCGAUAAGUCCGCUGUGAAAGUCCAGGGCUCAACCCUGGAAUGCCGGUGGAUACUGUCGGGCUCGAAUCCGGAAGAGGUGAGUGGAAUUCCUGGUGUAGCGGUGAAAUGCGCAGAUAUCAGGAGGAACACCAGCGGCGAAGGCGGCGCUCUGGGCCGGAACUGACGCUGAGGAGCGAAAGCGUGGGUAGCAAACAGG
rnacentral:rRNA from 1 species